rnacentral:rRNA from 1 species
GAUGAACGCUAGCUACAGGCUUAACACAUGCAAGUCGAGGGACCGGCGCACGGGUGUGUAACACGUAUCCAACCUGCCCUUUACUCGGUGAUAGCCUUUCGAUAGAAAUAUUAAUACCCGAUAUAAAGGAUGGGGAUGCGUUCCAUUAGGUUGUUGGUGAGGUAACGGCCCACCAAGCCUUCGAUGGAUAGGGGUUCUGAGAGGAAGGUCCCCCGCGUUUGAACUGAGACACGGACUAAACUCCUAGGAGGGGCAGCAGUGAGGAAUAUUAGUCAAUGGGCGCUAGCCUGAACCUGCCAAGUAGAGUGAAGGAUGAAGGGUUAUGGGACGUAAACUUCUAUUGUAUAAGAAUAGGUAAUAUAUGAAUAAGGAUCGGCUAACUCCGUGCCAGCAGCCGCGGUAAUUC